GCAGAGCACUCCUACGAGAGGCAGCAGUGGGGAAUAUUGCACAAUGGGCGCAAGCCUGAUGCAGCCAUGCCGCGUGUAUGAAGAAGGCCUUCGGGUUGUAAAGUACUUUCAGCAGUGAGGAAGGUGGGUAUGUUAAUAGCAUAUUCAUUUGACGUUAGCUGCAGAAGAAGCACCGGCUAACUCCGUGCCAGCAGCCGCGGUAAUACGGAGGGUGCGAGCGUUAAUCGGAAUUACUGGGCGUAAAGCGCAUGCAGGUGGUUUGUUAAGUCAGAUGUGAAAGCCCGGGGCUCAACCUCGGAAUUGCAUUUGAAACUGGCAAACUAGAGUACUGUAGAGGGGGUAGAAUUUCAGGUGUAGCGGUGAAAUGCGUAGAGAUCUGAAGGAAUACCGGUGGCGAAGGCGGCCCCCUGGACAGAUACUGACACUCAGAUGCGAAAGCGUGGGGAGCAAACAGGAUUAGAUACCCUGGUAG
rnacentral:rRNA from 1 species